GAUGAAUGCUGGCGGCGUGCCUCAAACAUGCAAGUCGAGCGAGGCUAUGAGUUACCGCAAGGUAAGGCAUAGCCUAGCGGCGAACGGGUGAGUAACACGUGGGUAACCUACCUGGAAGACAGGGAUAACGAUUCGAAAGGGUCGCUAAUACCUGAUAAUAUCCAUCUGCCGGAUGGCGGAGGGAAGAAAGGGGAAACCCGCUUUCAGAUGGGCCCGCGUCCCAUCAGCUAGUUGGUAAGGUAAAGGCUUACCAAGGCGACGACGGGUAGCCGGUCUGAGAGGAUGUACGGCCACACUGGGACUGAGAUACGGCCCAGACUCCUACGGGAGGCAGCAGUUGGGAAUCUUAGGCAAUGGACGAAAGUCUGACCUAGCGACGCCGCGUGAGGGAAGAAGGCCUUCGGGUUGUAAACCUCUGUCAUGGGGGAAGAAGGAAGUGACGGUACCCCAAGAGGAAGCCCCUGCUAACUACGUG
rnacentral:rRNA from 1 species